CUCAAACCUAGUUCUCACAGCCCAGGAAAGGAACACUAAAGACAUGAAAUGUCACACCUGGUACUGAAGCACAGGAUCGAGACAUACCAUGAGAGCGGCCACAAUGUGGGUUUCCCUGCUUUCGCCACCGCGCCCUCAACACCCAUUACUGUUACCAGGACGCCUACUUCCAUUGCUUCCAGGCCUUUGCCCUCCUACCAUGGCCUUGCUCCUCACCACCAUCCACGGCUUUUGCUGUUCUCCAGGACUGGAAUUUUAUGCAACACUGAACCUUUGUUUUCAUUUGAACCUCCAUCCAGUGACAGACAGAAGCAGAGGCAGACACC